rnacentral:rRNA from 1 species
UACGGAGGAUGCAAGCGUUAUCCGGAAUUAUUGGGCGUAAAGCGUCCGUAGGCGGCCAUUCAAGUCUGCUGUUAAAGCGUGCAGCUUAACUGCAUAUAGGCAGUGGAAACUGAGUAGCUAGAGUGUAGUAGGGGUAGAGGGAAUUCCCAGUGUAGCGGUGAAAUGCGUAGAUAUUGGGAAGAACACCGGUGGCGAAAGCGCUCUACUGGGCUACAACUGACGCUGAUGGACGAAAGCUAGGGGAGCGAAA